UCCUGGUUAGCUCAAUUGGUAAAGCACUCCACUGGAAAUGGAGCUGUCCCUCGUUCGAUUCCAGGUCGAGGCA
rfam:Ixodes scapularis strain Wikel colony gcontig_1108378417294, whole genome shotgun sequence.